UAUUUAAAAAUUCAUUCAUUUCUACGGUUCAAAAUUGGCAUGGCUGACAAAAUAACCAAACAACGACAUAUAGCGUACCAUGUAUACCUCAUGUUGACAUACAUGGACCAAUUAUUAAUUGUAAAAAUGGAAUUUUUUUUAUU
rnacentral:pre_miRNA from 1 species